rnacentral:rRNA from 1 species
GGGGAAUCUUCCGCAAUGGGCGAAAGCCUGACGGAGCAACGCCGCGUGAGGGAAGAAGGCCUUCGGGUUGUAAACCUCUGUUUUUAGGGACGAAAAAGAUGACGGUACCUAAAGAGUAAGCUCCGGCUAACUACGUGCCAGCAGCCGCGGUAAUACGUAGGGAGCGAGCGUUGUCCGGAAUUACUGGGCGUAAAGGGCGCGUAGGUGGUCCAUUAAGUUACUGGUGAAAGUUCGGGGCUUAACCCCGUGACUGCCUGUAAUACUGGUGGACUUGAGUGCAGGAGAGGGGAGUGGAAUUCCCAGUGUAGCGGUGAAAUGCGUAGAUAUUGGGAGGAACACCAGUGGCGAAGGCGGCUCUCUGGACUGUAACUGACACUGAGGCGCGAAAGCGUGGGGAGCAAAC